rnacentral:rRNA from 1 species
GAUCCUGGCUCAGGAUGAACGCUAGCUACAGGCUUAACACAUGCAAGUCGAGGGGCAGCAUGACCUAGCAAUAGGUUGAUGGCGACCGGCGCACGGGUGAGUAACACGUAUCCAACCUACCGGUUAUUCCGGAAUAACCUUGCGAAAGUAAGACUAAUACCCGAUGAAUUCGUUUAGUCGCAUGGCUUGAUGAAGAAAGAUUUAUCAGUAAAGGAUGGGGAUGCGUCCCAUUAGCUUGUUGG